rnacentral:rRNA from 1 species
UACAGAGGGUGCAAGCGUUGUUCGGAAUUAUUGGGCGUAAAGGGCGCGUAGGCGGUGCGGUAAGUCUGUUGUGAAAUCUCCGGGCUUAACCCGGAAAGGUCAGCCGAUACUGCGGGGCUAGAGUGCAGAAGGGGCAACUGGAAUUCUCGGUGUAGCGGUGAAAUGCGUAGAUAUCGAGAGGAACACCUGCGGCGAAGGCGGGUUGCUGGGCUGACACUGACGCUGAGGCGCGAAAGCGAGGGGAGCGAACGGG